ACGAACGCUGGCGGCAUGCCUCACCCAUGCAAGUCGAACGCGACCUUCGGGUCUAGUGGCGCCCGGGUGCGUAACGCGUGGGAACCUGCCCUUAGGUUCGGAAUAACUCCCCGAAAGGGGUGCUAAUACCGGAUAAUGUCUUCGGACCAAAGAUUUAUCGCCUUUGGAUGGGCCCGCGUUGGAUUAGCUAGUUGGUAGGGUAAAAGCCUACCAAGGCGACGAUCCAUAGCUGGUCUGAGAGGAUGAUCAGCCACACUGGGACUGAGACACGGCCCAGACUCCUACGGGAGGCAGCAGUGGGGAAUAUUGGACAAUGGGCGAAAGCCUGAUCCAGCAAUGCCGCGUGAGUGAUGAAGGCCUUAGGGUUGUAAAGCUCUUUUACCCGGGAUGAUAAUGACAGUACCGGGAGAAUAAGCUCCGGCUAACUCCGUG
rnacentral:rRNA from 1 species